ACCAGGUAAUCUCUUAGGUUAUAACCAGGUUAUAACCAAGUUAUAACCAGGUAAUGUCUCAGGUUAUAACCAGGUUAUAACCAGGUUAUAACCACGUUAUAUCU